AAGGGCAGCCUCAUCUGGGAGAAAUUUCUUCAGUCAUUUGAGAGCUACAUAAUCUGCUUGCAUAACUUGGAGAUAUUUCGGGCUCAGUUGCAGACCACCAUGAUAAAGCAAAUUCACAAUAAAAAGAGAAAACAUGAAGGUUGUGAGAUGAAAAAUGGUCUGCUGUGUUGGAAGGACUGACAGGAGACUCAGGCAUUUAGGAUAACUAAUCUAACCGAUCAUAUUCCAAGACACCGAAUAUGAAAUUUUUGCAGGCAUUCCCAGAAAAUAGCUGGGUUUGACGUUCUUCUGCUUCCUCCUUUCACGUGAUCAAAUGCUUCCACCUUCUGUGGAUCUCCAAAGGAUUGUAAAAUUCUAUGAUUCAGAAUUGAGCAUGGGAAGCAGGUAUGUUGGCUCAUCUACCCUAGUAGAUCAUGGCCCAUGACUUUCCAUGGGUGCAAGGCAUUCUCCAUAAGAGUAUUUCCAACAAUAUGUAUUCCCAGUGUUUCAAAAUCUCUUUAAAAUUUUUGCCAAACUCAGAAUGCAAAUGUGUGCAUUGUGUUAGAACCUUCUACCCAGAUGGAUGACUGGCCAAUUCCCAGUUCCCAUGGUGACUUUAAUAAAAUGCAACGAGAUUGGCAAACCGUUACUUUCAGCAGUGAGCCACCAUUACAAGCUUCUGAUGAAGAAUCUAACAUAAUUGGAAAGUUAAACUGAGUUCAGGAGAAAAUAGAAGAAGAUGUAUCAGGAACAGUGAAUGCAGACAACUAUUUCAAAAAAUAUUUUUAUAAAGGGGAGCAGAAAAAGGGAGCUAUAUUUGAAGGGUGGUGCGAUUAAGAAAGUAAAAAUAAAUAUGUUGAACAACUCCAGCCCUUAGACUAAGGAGUAUUAUUAUAUGAAGAGCCAAGAAUAUGAAGCUACAUCUCUACCAAAAUUUAAAUUAAAAAUUUAUUAUAUUCUGGGAGUGGGGAUGGAGAGAAGCAGAUUGGGAAUCACAAAUACUAGUGCCAGCAUUAAAGAUUCCAGAUCUUCAAGGGUGAGGAUCCUUAGAGCAUCCCUAGUUAAAAUCCAGUUUGGAUUUUGGUUCUGAGCAAAAUGAUACCCUCUUUGACAAUUUAUUGC